rnacentral:lncRNA from 1 species
GGAAUUCCAUGGUGCAGACCUUCAGGCUUCACACAGAGGUAGAGUAGGGAAUGUCUUGACCUUCAAUACGAGACUGCAGCAGAUCAUUGGGAACUAUGCAGGAGGCUGGAGUUGAGGCAGAAAGUAUACAUACAGCUGGAGGCAAAGGUUGGCAUACAUGUCAAGAGAAUGUUUUCCAGCUGGGGCCUGCAGUACAGAGAAUUGUAUAUACCAGAGGGCUCCUGGGACUCUAGGCAGAUUAUUAUGGUAAUAUUGGAGGCUGUUGUCCUCUCCCUCCCACAGCUGGGCCGCCUCUCUCAUUAUUUCCAUCACACAAAGACAGAAAUUCCAUCAGGC